rnacentral:rRNA from 1 species
CCUACGGGAAGCAGCAGUGGGGGAUAUUGCACAAUGGGGGAAACCCUGAUGCAGCGACGCCGCGUGUGGGAAGACGGUCCUCUGGAUUGUAAACCACUGUCCCCAGGGACGAAGAUGACGGUACCUGGGGAGGAAGCUCCGGCGAACUACGUGCCAGCAGCCGCGGUAAUACGUAGGGAGCGAGCGUUGUCCGGAAUUACUGGGUGUAAAGGGAGCGUAGGCGGGACUGCAAGUUGGGUGUCAAAUCUACCGGCUCAACCGGUAGCCGCACUCAAAACUGCAGUUCUUGAGUGAAGUAGAGGCAGGCGGAAUUCCUAGUGUAGCGGUGAAAUGCGUAGAUAUUAGGAGGAACACCAGUGGCGAAGGCGGCCUGCUGGGCUUUUACUGACGCUGAGGCUCGAAAGUGUGGGGAGCGAACAGGAUUAGAUACCCCAGUAGUC